rnacentral:rRNA from 1 species
GGAAUCUUCCACAAUGGGCGCAAGCCUGAUGGAGCAACACCGCGUGAGUGAAGAAGGGUUUCGGCUCGUAAAGCUCUGUUGUUAAAGAAGAACACGUAUGAGAGUAACUGUUCAGGUAUUGACGGUAUUUAACCAGAAAGCCACGGCUAACUACGUGCCAG